rnacentral:rRNA from 1 species
UCCGGUGGCCACAGCGAGGGGGUCACACCCGUUCCCAUCCCGAACACGGAAGUUAAGCCCCUCAGCGCCGAUGGUACUGCCCCCGCGAGGGAGUGGGAGAGUAGGUCGCCGCCGGGA